rnacentral:rRNA from 1 species
UACAGAGGUGGCAAGCGUUGUUCGGAAUUACUGGGCGUAAAGGGCGCGUAGGCGGCCUACUAAGUCAGACGUGAAAUCCCCCGGCUUAACCUGGGAACUGCGUCUGAUACUGGAAGGCUUGAGGAUGGGAGAGGGAUGUAGAAUUCCAGGUGUAGCGGUGAAAUGCGUAGAUAUCUGGAGGAAUACCGGUGGCGAAGGCGGCAGUCCUGGACCAUUCUGACGCUGAGGCGCGAAAGCUAGGGG